rnacentral:rRNA from 1 species
AUUGAACGCUGGCGGCAUGCUUUACACAUGCAAGUCGAACGGUAGCAGGCCUUCGGGUGCUGACGAGUGGCGCACGGGUGUGUAAUGCAUCGGAACGUACCCAGAGGUGGGGGAUAACGCAGCGAAAGCUGUGCUAAUACCGCAUGUGAUCUGAGGAUGAAAGCGGGGGACCGAGCAGCAAUGUUUGGCCUCGCGCCCUUGGAGCGGCCGAUGUCGGAUUAGCUAGUUGGUGGGGUAAAGGCCUACCAAGGCGACGAUCCGUAGCUGGUCUGAGAGGACGACCAGCCACACUGGGACUGAGACACGGCCCAGACUCCUACGGGAGGCAGCAAUGGGGAAUUUUGGACAAUGGGCGCAAGCCUGAUCCAGCAAUGCCGCGUGCGGGAAGAAGGCCUUCGGGUUGUAAACCGCUUUUGGCAGGAACGAAACGGUGUCCGCUAAUACCGGGCGCUAAUGACGGUACCUGCAGAAUAAGCACCGGCUAACUACGUG